CCUACGGGAGGCAGCAGUGGGGAAUUUUGGACAAUGGGCGAAAGCCUGAUCCAGCCAUACCGCGUGCGGGAAGAAGGCCUUCGGGUUGUAAACCGCUUUUGUCAGGGAAGAAAUGCUUCGGGCUAAUACCCUGGGGUGAUGACGGUACCUGAAGAAUAAGCACCGGCUAACUACGUGCCAGCAGCCGCGGUAAUACGUAGGGUGCAAGCGUUAAUCGGAAUUACUGGGCGUAAAGCGUGCGCAGGCGGUUCUAUAAGACAGAUGUGAAAUCCCCGGGCUCAACCUGGGAACUGCAUUUGUGACUGUAGAGCUAGAGUACGGUAGAGGGGGAUGGAAUUCCGCGUGUAGCAGUGAAAUGCGUAGAUAUGCGGAGGAACACCGAUGGCGAAGGCAAUCCCCUGGACCUGUACUGACGCUCAUGCACGAAAGCGUGGGGAGCAAACAGGAUUAGAUACCCUGGUAGUCCACGCCCUAAACGAUGUCAACUGGUUGUUGGGAGGGUUUCUCUCAGUACGAAGCUAACGCGUGAGUUGACCGCUGGGGNGNGCGCGAGUAAGUAGUAGAAGAGUAGAGNGNGNGNGNGCGAGACGACGACGAGGAGAGG
rnacentral:rRNA from 1 species